AAACCAACAGGGAUUGCCUUAGUAGCGGCGAGUGAAGCGGCAAGAGCUCAAAUUUGAAAUCUGGUACCUUCGGUGCCCGAGUUGUAAUUUGAAGAAAGCUAUCUUGGAUUUGGCCUUUGUCUAUGUUCCUUGGAACAGGACGUCACAGAGGGUGAGAAUCCCGUGCGAUGAGGUGUCCAUUUCUAUGUAAGAUGUUUUCGAAGAGUCGAGUUGUUUGGGAAUGCAGCUCUAAGUGGGUGGUAAAUUCCAUCUAAAGCUAAAUAUUGGCGAGAGACCGAUAGCGAACAAGUACAGUGAUGGAAAGAUGAAAAGAACUUUGAAAAGAGAGUGAAAAAGUACGUGAAAUUGUUGAAAGGGAAGGGUAUUAGAUCAGACUUGGUAUUUAGUUAUCAUUACUCCUUGUGGGUGGUGCUCUAGCUUUUUACUGGGCCAGCAUCAGUUUUGGUGACAGGAUAAUAGCAAUUGAAUGUGGCUCUUCGGAGUGUUAUAGCUUUUGUUGAUACUGUCUACUGGGACUGAGGUCUGCGGCUUUGCCUAGGAUGCUGGCGUAAUGAUCCAAUACCGC
rnacentral:rRNA from 1 species